GGGGGCACAUCAAACUGCUAUUAGGACACUGGUACAUGCAAAUACACUCAUACACGCUCUCUCAGCAAGUCCUUGAGUCCUCAGGAUGAUGAAGAUCUACAUCUCCCUGGCCCUCGUGAUGCAUGCGCUCAUACUGAAUCACGGUGAUGCCCAUCCAAUUGCACUCUCCACUCUGCCUGAAAACUGCUGUUUCAGAUUUUUUCAAGGAAAUAUUCCCAGCGCCAACAUUGUGUCUGUGAGGAAAAUUUACUCUGGCUGUCCUCAUCAGGGAUUUAUUGUUCAUACUAUCAAAAACAGAACAUUAUGCAUGGGCUCAAGCUUCCAACUGAAGACAGCUCAGGACAACUAAGGCUCCGAGAAGAUGCCGCUACAUGUGUCUUUACGGUUAUAACUGAAAAUCUUCUCAUCUGUGUGUCAAUAGUCGGCUUUAUAAGCUUGAAGUCAUAAUGCAAUAGUCUUGACUUAUUCAUGAAUAUCAUUUAAUUUGUAACAAGCCAAUUAGCCUCAGAAGGGGUGGUGGUGGUGGGGUUAUAAUAUGAUUGUCCAAACCAGGGCUGUGGGUUCUUCCUGGAGGCUCUCUUCUUUGCACUGUAAGCCAGGGUAAAUGCUCAAAUGUGUGGAGAACCUAAAACAUAGAAUUUAUGAACUGAGUUUGCUUUGCUUAAAAAAAUUUUUUUAUAUAUGCAUGUCUAUGUUUUCAUUAGGGUGUGGCUUUGUACUUUGUUGGUAUCGCAAGCAUCUCUUCAUGUAUACCCUUUGAGCUGUAUCAAUAGAAUUGAAAUAAAAUUUCCCACUUCUGA